GAUGAACGCUGGCGGCGUGCCUAAUACAUGCAAGUCGAGCGAACAGACGCGGAGCUUGCUCCUCUGACGUUAGCGGCGGACGGGUGAGUAACACGUGGAUACCCUACCUAUCAGACUGGGAUAACUUCGGGAAACCGGAGCUAAUACCGGAUAAUAUAUUGAACCGCAUGGUUCGAUAGUGAAAGACGGUUUUGCUGUCACUUAUAGAUGGAUCCGCGCCGCAUUAGCUAGUUGGUAAGGUAACGGCUUACCAAGGCGACGAUGCGUAGCCGACCUGAGAGGGUGGUCGGCCACACUGGAACUGAGACACGGUCCAGACGCCUACGGGAGGCAGCAGUAGGGAAUCUGCCGCAAAGGGCGAAAGCCUGACGGAGUAACGCCGCGUGAGUGACGAAGGUCCCCGGAGCGGAAAACUCUGUUAUGAGUGAAGAACAAAUGUGGAAGGAACUAUGCACGGCUUGACGGUACCGAAUCAGAAAGCCACGGCUAACUACGUG
rnacentral:rRNA from 1 species